UACGUAGGGUGCAAGCGUUGUUCGGAAUCACUGGGCGUAAAGGGCGCGUAGGCGGAUGGGUAAGCUAGAGGUGAAAUCCCGGGGCUCAACCUCGGAAGUGCUUCUGGAACUGCUUGUCUUGAGAUGGUCAGGGGUCAGUAGAAUUCCUGGUGUAGAGGUGAAAUUCGUAGAUAUCAGGAGGAAUACCGGUGGCGAAAGCGGCUGGCUGGGACCGAUCUGACGCUGAGGCGCGAAAGCAUGGGGAGCAAACAGG
rnacentral:rRNA from 1 species